rnacentral:rRNA from 1 species
AGUUUGAUCAUGGCUCAGGACGAACGCUGGCGGCGUGCUUAACACAUGCAAGUGGUGCGACGAACCAGGGCUUGCCCUGGGGCCAAGCCGCGAACGGGUGAGUAACACGUGGGUAACCUGCCCCGAUGACCGGGACAACCCGAGGAAACUCGGGCUAAUACCGGAUGUGGCGCACAGGCACAAGCUUGUGCGCUAAAGGAAGCUUCGGCCUCCGCAUUGGGAGGGGCCCGCGGCCCAUUAGCUUGUUGGUGGGGUCACGGCCUACCAAGGCAACGAUGGGUAGCUGGUCUGAGAGGACGAUCAGCCACACUGGGACUGAGACACGGCCCAGACUCCUACGGGGGGCAGCAGUGGGGAAUAUUGCACAAUGGGCGCAAGCCUGAUGCAGCGACGCCGCGUGAGGGAUGACGGCCUUCGGGUUGUAAACCUCUUUCAGUAGGGAAGAAGCGGAAGUGACGGUACCUGCAGAAGAAGCGCCGGCUAACUACGUGCCAGCAGCCGCGGUAAUCUCGCC